UGGUGCUCCAGAUAAAUCAUGAAAUGGAAUAUGUUGUUGAGUGAGAGAAAUGCAAAACAGAUUCUGUCACCCUCAAUGCUAUUGAUGAGCUCAGUUCUAUAACAAUAUGGUCUACCACCGGUCAUCACCUAGCUCAGAAAUCAGCAAACUACUGCCCAUGUGCC
rnacentral:lncRNA from 1 species